rnacentral:snRNA from 1 species
AGAUGUGAGGGCAAUCUGGCUGCGACACCUGUCACCCCAUGAUCGCCAGGGUUGACUCGGCUGAUCUGGCUGGCUAGGCGGGUGCCCCUUCCUCCCUCCACGCUCCAUGCGCAUCCCUCUGGAAGCCAGGCACGCUGACAGGGAGGACAACCACCCCGGAUGGAGGAGCACUGUUCCUCGGUCAAGGGCAUCAGAGUAGCUGUGCUCCCCACUGGAAGCUGCAAGCAAGCCCCCAGGUCCCUUUAUCAUCCAAACUGGAGCUGGUAAUAUGCAUUUUACAUGUUCUCUUCCUAAGUGGUUCAUGCUGCUUGUU